rnacentral:misc_RNA from 1 species
GAUGAAGAACGUAGCGAAAUGCGAUAAGUAAUGUGAAUUGCAGAAUUCCGUGAAUCUUCGAAUCUUUGAACGCACAUUGCGCCCCCUGGUAUUCCGGGGGGCAUGCCUGUCCGAGCGUCAUUGCAACCUUCAAGCGCGGCUUGUGUGUUGGGUCUCGUCCCCCGUGGACGGGCCCGAAAGGCAGUGGCGGCGUCCCGACAUGGUGCCCGAGCGUAUGGGAAUCCUCUUCCGCUCGAAUCGGCCCAUGCGGCGCUGGUCGUAACCAAAUUUUUUACCGGUUGACCUCGGAUCAGGUAGGGAUACCCGCUGAACUUAAGCAUAUCAAUAAGCGGAGGA